rnacentral:tRNA from 1 species
GCCGAAGUGGUGAAACGGUAAACACAGCAGUUCCAGGGGCUGCCGCCUGCAAGGGUUUGGGGGUUCGAAUCCCCCCUUCGGCA